rnacentral:ncRNA from 21 species
GUCUUAUCAAGAGAGGUGGAGGGACUGGCCCUAUGAAACCCAACAACCAGCAUUUUUUAAUUAGAUGUAUGGUGUUAAUUCCUGCAAAGUUAAUUUUGAGAGAUAAGAG